CGGAAGAGGGAGGUCAUGCCGCUCUCGCGACUGUGACCUUCAUAAGAGUUUUUCCUCCCUUCUCAUAAACAGUGAGGGAACUUUUAUAUUUUUCCCCCUCCGCCUUCUCUGGAAAAUACAGAAAAAUUGUAUGGUGCGAGACAAGAUUCUACGUUAAUCCAAGUGUUGUGUUUAGAGUGUUUGUGAAAAGAUAUACGAGUGUUGUGGAUUCGAUUUAAGAAUUAUUAAAAGUCGAAUCAAACGGGAUUUUGUGGUACGGUUUUAUUUUUAUUUUUUUUCUUCAACUCUUUGAGGAUUCGUCGUCGGCAGGUCCCUGAAUGCUCUUGAGAUUUUUCGCCGGAGGAAGAGGAAACGGAAGAGAACAAAGCACAACGUCUUCAAGAAGUGAUUUUUUCCUCGACUCUUUCCAAAAAAAAAAAAAAAAUCAAGUCAAAGGCGAAAAUUGGACAAAAGAGUGAAAAAAGAAAUAUAAACAAGGCAGAUUUGUAAAGGGAAAUAAACGAGGCAGUUUUAAAGAAGUAUAGAAUAAACAAGGCAUUUAAAAAGAGAGAGAAAAGAAAGGAAAGCAGUUCUUGUUCUCAAGUUCUUUUAAGAAUAGAAAAUUCUGGAGGAAACACUGCACAAAAGAAUCAGUUUGUUCAAAUAACAGUUUCCAUGAACAGAAAUAAGUGAAAAAAAUCAAAUUGCCACAGAAAUAAGAUUAUAUAAUAAUGAUGAAUUUGACAACGAGCCUAGAUGGCUUAUAGGCCUACCUUCUGAUAUUGGCCUAUAUCUCUGAA